GUCGAGAGGGUUCGGCCCUCGGCUGACGGCUCAGUAACACGUGGAUAAUCUGCCCUAUGGUGGAGGAUAACCUCGGGAAACUGAGAAUAAUACUCCAUAGGACUAGGAUGCUGGAAUGCACCUAGGCUCAAAACUCCGGUGCCAUAGGAUGAGUCUGCGGACUAUCAGGUUGUAGUCAGGGUAAAGACCUGACUAGCCUACGACGGAUACGGGUUGUGAGAGCAAUAACCCGGAGAUGAUAUCUGAGACACGAUAUCAGGCCCUACGGGGCGCAGCAGGCGCGAAAACUUCACAAUGCGCGAAAGCGCGGUGAGGGAAUCCCAAGUGCUUGCACGUAAGUGUAAGCUGUUUUUAUGUUUAAAAAGCAUAGAGAGUAAGGGCUGGGUAAGACGGGUGCCAGCCGCCGCGGUAAUACCUGCAGCUCAAGUGGUGGCCACUAUUAUUGGGCCUAAAACGUCCGUAGCCGGUUUAAUAAAUGCCGGGGUAAAUCGUGUAGCUUAACUAUACGAAUUCCGGGUAGACUGUUAGACUUGAGACCGGGAGAAGCUAGAGGUACUCCUGGGGUAGAGGUGAAAUUCUGUAAUCCUAGGGGGACCACCAGUGGCGAAGGCGUCUAGCUAGAACGGGUCUGACGGUGAGGGACGAAGCCCUGGGGCGCAAACCGGAUUAGAUACCCGGGUAGUCCAGGGUGUAAACGCUGCUUGCUUGAUGUUAGUUGGGCUCCGAGCCCAAUUAGUGUCGGAGA
rnacentral:rRNA from 1 species